AAGAACUUUCUUUGUGCAGGAGGCUCACAACUGCAGAAGUUUUGUGCUGGCUGGGUAGACAGAAGAUCCUAUUCUUCUGGAAGAAUUACAUGGACAGUGUUACAGAGGUCCAGCUCAUCAUUUUUUAGCUAUGGUAAUUUAACUGUACAUGAUUCAAUUCAGAAUUUCUGAAUUUCAAUUCAGAUAAUCUGUGUUAAUCAGCACAACUAAAACUGUUUUCCUAGAUAAAGGUCCAGAAGACUGGUUGGCUUUUCCAGGUUUAUUGACAGUGUGAGGACGAUCAGAUCUGAACACUUCUAGUAGUGAUAAACAUACUAUGAAGCAUGAUGCAGAAAUGCAACAUAAUAUCCAAAAAAACCCUCCUUUUGUGUAAGCAAUAAAAAACAUGGCCAACAAAUGAA